rnacentral:tRNA from 1 species
CAAGUUGGAGCUUGAUUAGUAAAGCAUUUCGUUUACAUUGAAAAAUUUAUCGUGCGAGUCGAUUUAACUUGA